rnacentral:rRNA from 1 species
AAUCAACGCUGGCGGCGUGCCUCAGACAUGCAAGUCGAACGCUGCUGUUCGCCUUCGGGUGGACAGCGGAGUGGCGCACGGGUGAGUAACACGUAGGUAAUCUACCUUUGGGUGGGAUAACGGCCGGAACGGCUGCUAAUACCGCAUAAUGCAGCGGCAUCACAUGAUGACAGUUGUUAAAGCGAGGGAUCGUAAGACCUCGCGCCUGAAGAGGAGCCUGCGGCAGAUUAGGUAGUUGGUGAGGUAAUGGCUCACCAAGCCUGCGAUCUGUAACCGGCCUGAGGAGGGCGGUCGGUCACACUGACACUGACAUACGGGUCAGACUCCUACGGGAGGCAGCAGUCGGG